GGAUCAAUAAACAGGGAGUUGCCUUGGAAUCUAUUCUGAGGAGGAAAGUCCGAACAUCAUAGGGAAAAACCUUCUAAGAAAUUAGAAUCCGCUUCCGCGGAUGGCCAGUGCCGCAGAAAAGAUACCGUCCCGUUUUUACGGGAUAAGGGUGAAAAGGCGAGGUAAGAGCUCACCACCUGUUUCCAUAUUGGAACGCCGAUGGCGCCGAAAGGGCGGGGUAAGGUAAACCCGGUUUGAUGCAAGGCCAAAUAGGAGUAUAUAGUGUUCUGUGCGGUGUCCCGCCGUAUGUAUCUUCGGAUACGUAUACUCGGGUAGGUCGCUUAAGUGUCGCGGCAACGCGGCAUUAAGAUAAAUAACUCCCCCCUUUAAAGGGUACAGAAUUCGGCUUAUUCUAUUGAUCCGGAU
rnacentral:RNase_P_RNA from 1 species